rnacentral:rRNA from 1 species
ACGAGGAGCUUGCUCCUCUGACGUUAGCGGCGGACGGGUGAGUAACACGUGGAUAACCUACCUAUAAGACUGGGAUAACUUCGGGAAACCGGAGCUAAUACCGGAUAAUAUAUUGAACCGCAUGGUUCAAUAGUGAAAGACGGUUUUGCUGUCACUUAUAGAUGGAUCCGCGCCGCAUUAGCUAGUUGGUAAGGUAACGGCUUACCAAGGCAACGAUGCGUAGCCGACCUGAGAGGGUGAUCGGCCACACUGGAACUGAGACACGGUCCAGACUCCUACGGGAGGCAGCAGUAGGGAAUCUUCCGCAAUGGGCGAAAGCCUGACGGAGCAACGCCGCGUGAGUGAUGAAGGUCUUCGGAUCGUAAAACUCUGUUAUUAGGGAAGAACAAAUGUGUAAGUAACUAUGCACGUCUUGACGGUACCUAAUCAGAAAGCCACGGCUAACUACGUGCCAGCAGCCGCGGUAAUACGUAGGUGGCAAGCGUUAUCCGGAAUUAUUGGGCGUAAAGCGCGCGUAGGCGGUUUUUUAAGUCUGAUGUGAAAGCCCACGGCUCAACCGUGGAGGGUCAUUGGAAACUGGAAAACUUGAGUGCAGAAGAGGAAAG